rnacentral:rRNA from 1 species
UACGUAGGGUGCGAGCGUUAAUCGGAAUGAUUGGGCGUAAAGGGUGCGCAGGCGGUUUGCCAAGACGGAUGUGAAAGCCCUAGGCUUAACCUAGGAAUGGCAUACGUGACUGGCAACCUAGAAUAUGGCAGAGGGAGGUGGAAUUCCACGUGUAGCAGUGAAAUGCGUAGAGAUGUGGAGGAACACCGAUGGCGAAGGCAGCCUCCUGGGUCAAUAUUGACGCUCAGGCACGAAAGCGUGGGGAGCAAACAGG